rnacentral:rRNA from 1 species
AUCAGCUUGUUGGUGGGGUAAUGGCCUACCAAGGCGACGACGGGUAACCGGCCUGAGAGGGCGACCGGUCACACUGGGACUGAGACACGGCCCAGACUCCUACGGGAGGCAGCAGUGGGGAAUAUUGCGCAAUGGGCGAAAGCCUGACGCAGCAACGCCGCGUGAGGGAUGAAGUACGUCGAGAUGUAAACCUCUUUCAGCAGGGACGAAGCGAAAGUGACGGUACCUGCAGAAGAAGCGCCGGCUAACUACGUGCCAGCAGCCGCGGUAAUACGUAGGGCGCAAGCGUUGUCCGGAUUUAUUGGGCGUAAAGGGCUCGUAGGCGGUCUGUCACGUCGGAUGUGAAAACUCAGUGCUUAACACUGGGCCUGCAUUCGAUACGGGCAGACUAGAGUUCGGUAGGGGAGACUGGAACUCCUGGUGUAGCGGUGGAAUGCGCAGAUAUCAGGAAGAACACCGAUGGC